CGCGGAGUAGAGCAGUGGCAGCUCGUCAGGCUCAUAACCUGAAGGUCGUUGGUUCGAAUCCUUCCUCCGCUACCA
rnacentral:tRNA from 1 species